UUAUUUCGCGAGAUUGGUCCGUUUGCUUGAAACGUAACGUCUCAUCCUGUCAGUAGUGUUUUGACAGCCGAAGUGUGAACUUGCGCAUUUGUGACGGAGAGGCACUACGGUUUUAUAAUGUCUAAACGAGCUUUGCUACUCUGUAAUCUU